rnacentral:lncRNA from 1 species
UUCCUCUCAAAGUCAUCGUCAAAGUCCAAGAUGUUUGCGCGAACCGUUUGAGAGCUUCUAGUCAUAAACUAGUACCUAAGAAACAAGAAACAAAAUUAGGUCAGGAACUUAAACAAAAUCAGAAACAAAGUGAAAUAAAAGAAAUAGAAACAAAAGACAAUCCAAGGGAUUAGCAAAUUUGCUAAUCCCCGGCAACGGCGCCAAACAUUUGAUGCGAAAUAGAUAAGCACACAAAUUAAACCCUCUUUUUGUCAAAUUGUAGUAAAGAUGUAAGUAGGGAUC